rnacentral:rRNA from 1 species
AUUGAACGCUGGCGGCAUGCUUACACAUGCAAGUCGAACGGCAGCGCGGGGAGCUUGCUCCCUGGCGGCGAGUGGCGGACGGGUGAGUAACGCGUAGGAAUCUACCCAGUAGUGGGGGACAACCCGGGGAAACUCGAGCUAAUACCGCAUACGCCCUACGGGGGAAAGGGGGGGACCUCUUUGGAGGCCUCUCGCUAUUGGAUGAGCCUGCGUCGGAUUAGCUUGUUGGUAGGGUAAUGGCCUACCAAGGCGACGAUCUGUAGCUGGUCUGAGAGGACGAUCAGCCACACUGGGACUGAGACACGGCCAGACUCCUACGGGAGGCAGCAGUGGGGAAUAUUGGACAAUGGGGGCAACCCUGAUCCAGCAAUGCCGCGUGUGUGAAGAAGGUCUUCGGGUUGUAAAGCACUUUCAGUGGGGAAGAAAAGCUUGAGGUUAAUACCCUCCGGUCUUGACGGUACCUACAGAAGAAGCACCGGCUAACUCCGUGCCAGCAGCCGCGGUAAUACGGAGGGUGCGAGCGUUAAUCGGAAUCACUGGGCGUAAAGCGUGCGUAGGCGGUUCGGUAAGUCAGAUGUGAAAGCCCUGGGCUCAACCUGGGA